UACAGAGGGUGCGAGCGUUGUCCGGAAUCACUGGGCGUAAAGGGCGCGUAGGUGGCGACCCAAGUCGAUGGUGAAAGCUCGCCGCUCAACGGCGAGUCGGCCACUGAUACUGGGUUGCUGGAGCACUGUAGAGGCAGAUGGAAUUCCGGGUGUAGCGGUGGAAUGCGUAGAGAUCCGGAAGAACACCGGUGGCGAAGGCGGUCUGCUGGGCAGUUGCUGACACUGAGGCGCGACAGCGUGGGGAUCAAACAGG
rnacentral:rRNA from 1 species